GCACUCGAUAAUAGUGGAUUCAUCAGCAACCUCGAAAAUAUUCAAGCUUCUCUUAGAUUACAGGGACAGAGAGCAAUUUCGCUCCAUCAGACCUCCCAGUCGAGCUUCAGCCGUCAGGCCCGAACUCUCUAGCAAGUCACGACAAUGGCCAUUACCCCACUCUACUCUUUGUAACGGAUUCCACGUGGCCCUACCACUCUCUAGCA
rnacentral:lncRNA from 1 species